rnacentral:rRNA from 1 species
AUUGAACGCUGGCGGCGUGCCUAACACAUGCAAGUCGAGCGGUAACGCGGGAGCAAUCCUGGCGACGAGCGGCGAACGGGUGAGUAACGCUUCGGAAUCUGCCCAGUAGUGGGGAAUAACUAACCGAAAGGUUAGCUAAUGCCGCAUACGAUCUACGGAUGAAAGCGGGGGAUCGCAAGACCUCGCGCUAUUGGAUGAGCCGAAGUCGGAUUAGCUAGUUGGUAGGGUAACGGCCUACCAAGGCGACAAUCCGUAGCUGGUCUGAGAGGACGACCAGCCACACUGGGACUGAGAGGCGGCCCAGACUCCUACGGGAGGCAGCAGUGGGGAAUAUUGGACAAUGGGGGAAACCCUGAUCCAGCGACGCCGCGUGUGUGAAGAAGGCCUGCGGGUUGUAAAGCACUUUUAGUGGGGAUGAAAAGCUCAGGGCUAAUACCUCUGGGUCUCGACCUAACCCAAAGAAAAAGCACCGGCUAACUCUGUGCCAGCCGCCGCAGUAACAC